UACGUAGGGUGCGAGCGUUAAUCGGAAUUACUGGGCGUAAAGCGUGCGCAGGCGGUGAUGUAAGACAGGUGUGAAAUCCCCGGGCUUAACCUGGGAACUGCAUUUGUGACUGCAUCGCUGGAGUGCGGCAGAGGGGGAUGGGAUUCCGCGUGUAGCAGUGAAAUGCGUAGAUAUCAAGAGGAACACCUGAGGCGAAGGCGGGUUGCUAGGCUGACACUGACGCUGACAGCGCGAAGGCCAGGGAAGCAAACGGG
rnacentral:rRNA from 1 species